AUGGACGAACCUCUAGUGUGCCAGUUGUUCUGCCAAGGGCAUCGCUGGGUAGCUAUGUUCGGAAGGGAUAAACGCUGAAAGCAUCUAAGUGCGAAGCCCACCCCAAGAUGAGAUCUCCCGGGCGUAAGCCCCUGAAGACCCCUUGUAGAUCACAAGGUUGAUAGGCCAGACGUGUAAGCGCAGGAAUGCGCUCAGCCUACUGGUACUAAUCGGUCGUGCGGCUUGACCCC
rnacentral:rRNA from 1 species